CUGAUAUUCUGUUCCAGAUUUUUUCAUCUAUAUCUAUUUAGAAAACAGACGAUUUCGUGUAGAACAAUCUCAUAGUACUUUCAAUUAUGCAUCACAAAAUAGUCAUUGUGAAUGUAUUACAAUGUCAAGUUUGAAGUGUAUAUAAAACCUAAUAUAGAAAUACAACUCUGUAGGCAUCAUAUAGAACUGCCACAUGAUAAAAGAACAGAGACAAGGUGAUUGCUUGAUCUUUGUUAACAAAAAUUCAACAACUUUUCACAAUUCUAAUAUAUUACAGUACAAAAGCAUAAAUUGAACUAGUACUUUAAUUGAAAAUAACUACAUCGAUUCUCGUCAAACAUUUGUAUCAUUAUCAUCCUGGGUAAUAUAUUUCAGCAAAUGGAAUUUCCCAUGGUAAAGAAAUGUUAACAUGAUGAUCUGUUGGUUCUACUUGUAAAUGACUACAACUUUCAUGAUUCCAAUAUUACAGUCCAACCUCAAAAAUAUGCAUGAUGAUUAUGCCUCAAUGCGGUUAAUACAGUAUCAUGAAUUUUGUUGUGAAUUCCAGCACCUUCUACUUAGCACUUGAAAUGGCAUGCCAAUCAUAAUUAAUACAAUGAAUGAAAGACCCAUAGAAAGGUACAAUUAUAUAUCAUGUGAAAUUAUUCACUUACUCCAAUUUCUG
rnacentral:misc_RNA from 1 species